rnacentral:tRNA from 1 species
GCGGCGUCGUAUAAUGGCAAUGCCCUAGCUUCCCAGGCACGAGCUGAGAGUUCGAUUCUCUCCGUCCGCUCCA